rnacentral:rRNA from 1 species
ACCCGCUGAACUUAAGCAUAUCAAUAAGCGGAGGAAAAGAAACUAACAAGGAUUCCCCUAGUAACUGCGAGUGAAGCGGGAAAAGCUCAAAUUUAAAAUCUGGCGGUUCUUGUAGUCGUCCGAGUUGUAAUUUAGAGAAGUGCUAUCCACGCUGGACCGUAUACAAGUCUCCUGGAAUGGAGCGUCAUAGAGGGUGAGAAUCCCGUCUUUGAUACGGACUACCAGGGUAUUGUGAUGCGCUCUCGAAGAGUCGAGUUGUUUGGGAAUGCAGCUCAAAAUGGGUGGUAAAUUCCAUCUAAAGCUAAAUAUUGGCGAGAGACCGAUAGCGAACAAGUACCGUGAGGGAAAGAUGAAAAGAACUUUGGAAAGAGAGUUAAACAGUACGUGAAAUUGUUAAAAGGGAAACGCUUGAAGUCAGUCGCGUUGGCUUGGGAUCAACCUUGUUUUUUACUUGGUGUACUUCCUUGUCGAUGGGUCAACAUCAAUUUUGACUGCUGGAUAAAGAUUGAGGGAAUGUGGCAUCCUCGGAUGUGUUAUAGCCCUUAGUUGUAUACAGUGGUUGGGAUUGAGGAACUCAGCACGCCGCAAGGCCGGGUCUUGUACCACGUACGUGCUUAGGAUGUUGGCAUAAUGGCUUUAAUCGACCCGUCUUGAAACACGG